UUUCGAGCGUCUUCACAAGUUUUUAUAAAGUCAGACGUUUUCUGCUUAAGGUUUGCGGAAUAUUUACAUACUAUAAAGUUCCUAGUUUAAGAUCUUGUAACCUUUUUAAGUCACCACUUUUCAGUGUUUAAUCAACCAGGUGCUCCUGAAUAUCUGCACAUGCACGUAUUGGAAUGAAAUUGAACCUGACGUGAGCAUCAGCAGUUACACGGAUUUCGUACGCGACAACCAACAUAUUUGCAUAUUUUGACAGCAGGUUCAUUAUGGAGUAUGGAAUUUUGGCUUUUGGACUCGUUUUAUGUAUCAAGAUAUUACUACUCUUUAAAAUAUUGAUCUUCAGGAGUGAAACAUGUCAAAAUGAAGACAAUACAGCAGCAAACGUCGAGAUAACUACAAUAUGCACUGCGGAAAGUCUACGCAAAAUGACGCAAGACUUCCACGAUAUUGAGCGACAAACUGUCCCCUCAUACUCCGAAGUAGUCGCUAAUUACAAAGAUUUUCCAUGCGUUGUAUACAUUGAUGAAGUUGACAAAAGCAAACAUAUGCCCCUUCCACCCACUUACGAAGAGUGUCUAGAAAUACACAAGUGCAAACUGUGACGAAUAGAGAUAAACAGAAAUAUAUAUAUAUAUUAUUUGAAAUACUUAAAACUUAUAUCAUGUAUUAUCGAAACCUACAUUUAAACAGACUUGAUUAAAUAAAGUUAGUUAAAAUUCACUUUUUUGUAAAUUAAAGUAAUACGUAACAAAAGCUUGUUUCAUUUAUAAAAUCAAAAUCUGUUAUUAGCCAAAAAAUACUAGAUUAGAACUAAUUAUAUUUGUAUAAGCCAAUUAUUUAAAAAUAUUUUAUUUGAACUCAUUUUAUUUGUAAAAAUCAAACAAAAAUUGUGCUCUAUGGGUAAACCCUGGAAGAGCUAAUAAAUACACUUAUCUAUCUACCUA